rnacentral:rRNA from 1 species
CCUGCGGGUGGCAUCAGUCGUUUGGAGUACGGAGGGGGAGGAGUUUACACCGCAAGGCUAGCUUUUGUCUCAUCUGUGCUUGAAGCGAUGCACUUUUUCAUUUGCAGGUCAACAUCAGUUUCCUCUGCUGGAAAAAACUCUAAGGGAAGGUAGCAGCUUUGGCUGUGUUAUAGCUCUGGAGCGAUACAGUGGAGGGGACUGAGGUUUCGCAGCAUGUGCUUUCGGGCAAGGUUGACUGGGUGCUAUGAGGGAGCUUGGCGUACAAUGCAUGCAUUUUGCGCUUCGUCUCUUUUUUACUCGCUCAAAUCAACUCUUCCAUGCUUAGGAUGUUGACUUAAUGGUUUUAAACGACCCGUCUUGAAACACGGACCAAGGAGUC